rnacentral:misc_RNA from 1 species
GAUGAAGAACGCAGCGAAAUGCGAUAAGUAAUGUGAAUUGCAGAAUUCAGUGAAUCAUCGAAUCUUUGAACGCACAUUGCGCCCGCCAGUAUUCUGGCGGGCAUGCCUGUUCGAGCGUCAUUACAACCCUCAGGCCCCCGGGCCUGGCGUUGGGGAUCAGCGGAAGCCCCCUGCGGGCACAACGCCGUCCCCCAAAUACAGUGGCGGUCCCGCCGCAGCUUCCAUUGCGUAGUAGCUAACACCUCGCAACUGGAGAGCGGCGCGGCCACGCCGUAAAACACCCAACUUCUGAAUGUUGACCUCGAAUCAGGUAGGAAUACCCGCUGAACUUAAGCAUAUCAAUAAGCGGAGGA